rnacentral:rRNA from 1 species
UAGGGAAUCUUCCACAAUGGACGCAAGUCUGAUGGAGCAACGCCGCGUGAGUGAAGAAGGGUUUCGGCUCGUAAAGCUCUGUUGUUAAAGAAGAACGUGGGUAAGAGUAACUGUUUACCCAGUGACGGUAUUUAACCAGAAAGCCACGGCUAACUACGUGCCAGCAGCCGCGGUAAUACGUAGGUGGCAAGCGUUAUCCGGAUUUAUUGGGCGUAAAGCGAGCGCAGGCGGUCUUUUAAGUCUAAUGUGAAAGCCUUCGGCUCAACCGAAGAAGUGCAUUGGAAACUGGGAGACUUGAGUGCAGAAGAGGACAGUGGAACUCCAUGUGUAGCGGUGAAAUGCGUAGAUAUAUGGAAGAACACCAGUGGCGAAGGCGGCUGUCUGGUCUGCAACUGACGCUGAGGCUCGAAAGCAUGGGUAGCGAACA